rnacentral:lncRNA from 1 species
AAUGGUUUGAGCCGAUGAAAAAGAAAGUGCCCAUACCUGUAUUUAUUGCAAAAGCAAUCGCAACAAAUUAGAAACAGCUUAAGUUCAUUUCUGAUAUGAAGAAAUCCUCCUUCAACGCCACGAGGUGAACCAUCCAUCCUUGCACUACCAGGCAAUUCACAUCUAUUGAUAUUCUUACCUUUAUUGAAAAGAUUUGGAUAGCUUGAGAAGUUUUAAUGAUAUUACGUCAGAGAAAUUGAAUACAAAACUAUCAACUGCACAUGAAACUAACUGCUUAUUAACUUCGUGUGAAUGAGUUUUUGAUACAAACAAUUGGCCUUAAAACAGACAGCUGUCUUUAGAAUCAAAUUUCAGAAUUUUCAAAUGUAAUUUAACGUUAAACCUUUUUUUUUUAAAUUCUGUGUUUUUUUAUUUACAAGAAA